CCUACGGGUGGCAGCAGUCGAGAAUCAUUCACAAUGGGGGAAACCCUGAUGGUGCGACGCCGCGUGGGGGAAUGAAGGUCUUCGGAUUGUAAACCCCUUUCAUGUGGGAGCAAAUUAAAAAUAUAGUACCACAAUAGGAAGAGACGGCUAACUCUGUGCCAGCAGCCGCGGUAAUACAGAGGUCUCAAGCGUUGUUCGGAAUCACUGGGCGUAAGGCGUGCGUAGGCUGUUUCGUAAGUCGUGUGUGAAAGGCGCGGGCUCAACCCGCGGACGGCACAUGAUACUGCGAGACUAGAGUAAUGGAGGGGGAACCGGAAUUCUCGGUGUAGCAGUGAAAUGCGUAGAUAUCGAGAGGAACACUAGUGGCGAAGGCGGGUUCCUGGACAUUAACUGACGCUGAGGCACGAAGGCCAGGGGAGCGAAAGGGAUUAGAUACCCGGGUAGUC
rnacentral:rRNA from 1 species